rnacentral:rRNA from 1 species
UACGUAGGGGGCAAGCGUUAUCCGGAUUUACUGGGUGUAAAGGGAGUGUAGGCGGUCUGGCAAGUCUGAUGUGAAACUCCGCAGCUCAACUGCGGAACUGCAUUGGAAACUGUCAGACUAGAGUGCAGGAGAGGAAAGUGGAAUUCCUAGUGUAGCGGUGAAAUGCGUAGAUAUUAGGAAGAACACCAGUGGCGAAGGCGGCUUUCUGGACUGUAACUGACGCUGAGGCUCGAAAGCGUGGGGAGCAAAC